rnacentral:pre_miRNA from 1 species
UUCAACUCGUCGGUAGUCAUUGUUCGGACCAGGAAAUGAAACUAUGACACUGAAGCGAGUUGGAAA